rnacentral:rRNA from 1 species
CGGCAACAGCUCAAAUUUGAAAUCUGCCCGCAAGGGCCGAGUUGUAAUUUGUAGAGGGCGCUUUGGCAUUGGCAGCGGUCCAAGUUCCUUGGAACAGGACGUCACAGAGGGUGAGAAUCCCGUACGUGGUCGCUAGCCUUUACCGUGUAAAGCCCCUUCGAC